UGAUUCUUGGCGCCCAUUGGGCCGUCUUCCCUUAUCACGUUGAGGACGCGGAGUGGGCGGGGUUUAGUAGGAAGGAAAUGGCGUAGCUGGGCUGCGCCCGGCGCCGGCUGUAGGUUCGUUUUAUUGGUUCCGGCUUUGGGGGGAGGGGAUGUCGUGGGUUUGUUCUUUUGGUUUGGGGGGCUGUCAGUCCUUUCUUGAGGUUUCCGGGUGGUAAUCGUGUGUAUCUCCUUAGGCGAGCAGUGCUGGGAGAUGGGAAUUAUGGGGUUUAAUGCAACAUUCGUACCAGUUGGUUCUCAAAGUGUGGUCCCUUUACCAGCCGCAUCAGCAUCGCCUGGUAAUCUAUUACAAAUGCAAAUUUUCAACACCCCCCCCCCCCAGACGUGACUCAGAAACGCUGGGGAUGGGCUCUGCAACCUGUUUUAACAAGCACUCCAGGUGAACAGAUCUAUUUUAUGAUCAAAGGAAAGUAAGUCAGCACGUUUGACUGGCCCUUGAAACAGCGCACCGGACCUGCGAUCUGUAGUUCUGGUGUGGAUCCUGCCUCUCACUAGCUGUGAGGCCUGCAGGAGGAAGACCCUAACUUCAGGGGGCCCACGUUUCGUAACCAAUGUUUCCUUGCAGCCCUGAGACUCGGAUUCUUAAAUUUAUAGGAAGUCACAAAAGAUGACAUACAAUUCUCCCUAAUUAACUGUACAUAGAUAGUUACUUGAUCCUAUCCCCAUCCGUCGUCCUUCCUGUGAAUUUCUACUGAGGUGUGUCAGGGCUACAUUUUCUAACCGAUAUUAGUCCUUUGAUGCUAAGCACUAAUAAGCAAUUUCCAUGUAUGAAAUAACACUGCAUGCCCCGCCCGCCGUCCCACCCCAGCCAGCUCUCAGACCUAGGCAUCUGCUGUAGACUCAGUACGUGUUAGCUAGAGGAGGAAGCUCAGGGACUCUACACCUGUCUGUUGAGUGUUGACUUCUCCUUUCACUUUACAGAGAAAAGAAAGGUCAUUUGGCAACAACUUCCUUUGAUAAUUUCCCCCGCCAGCACAUGUAGCUAAAAAUUAUUUGUGUUGAUUCAUCCUUGAAAAGAUUUUUCGAUGACUAUAUUAAAAUUUAAAUCAUGUGUACAGUGAAAGCAUCAUUAAAAAAUUAAAGACAA